GAAAGGAAUUUCAUUAAAAGCAAGAAAGAACUGCUGUGGCUUUGAGAAACUCCGAAAGCAAGUUGCCAAGACUUUUGUUAGAGACUUAAAGCAAGUUGUAAGCCCAGUAGCAUUGCACAUGGACAUCAUGAAACCUAGACCGGAGUUGUUCUGAUAUGGUUCAAGAAAAAUCAAAGGCCUUUUCAGCCCAAAUUUAAAGAACCAGCUACACAUCAUAAUAGAGAAGUACAUGGGCCUGUGUAGAAACUAUGAGAAUGAAUGUUCCAGUGCCCAGAAUGGACAAUAUCCGAGCUGUCACAGGGAGAUUCCUCAUGCUCAGCCAAUCAUGGAAGAUUCCUUAAAAACCC